rnacentral:rRNA from 1 species
AACGAACGCUGGCGGCAUGCCUAACACAUGCAAGUCGAACGAGACCUUCGGGUCUAGUGGCGCACGGGUGCGUAACGCGUGGGAACCUGCCCUUAGGUUCGGAAUAACUCCCCGAAAGGGGUGCUAAUACCGGAUAAUGUCUUCGGACCAAAGAUUUAUCGCCUUUGGAUGGGCCCGCGUUGGAUUAGCUAGUUGGUAGGGUAAAAGCCUACCAAGGCGACGAUCCAUAGCUGGUCUGAGAGGAUGAUCAGCCACACUGGGACUGAGACACGGCCCAGACUCCUACGGGAGGCAGCAGUGGGGAAUAUUGGACAAUGGGCGAAAGCCUGAUCCAGCAAUGCCGCGUGAGUGAUGAAGGCCUUAGGGUUGUAAAGCUCUUUUACCCGGGAUGAUAAUGAGAGUACCGGGAGAAUAAGCGCCGGCUAACUCCGUG